rnacentral:lncRNA from 1 species
CCAGUCCCCAUAGGCCAUGCACCACCUAUUCCUCCAGGACUUUUGCGUUGUGGGCUUGUGUCCAAUAAAAUAGCCCCUCUCCCUCGCCUUUCGGCAAUUAGCCUGUACCCAGCCAAAAUUCCCCUGCUGCUUCAAAAUGGAGGAUAGGUACAUGAACUGCUCAAACGUUGGCUCCCCCAACCCAGCCAACCACCAAGCAAUAUACACCCCAUGCAGAAGAAUCCAGAAGUUGGGAUUAUAUUGCCCCGACGCAUACCCCAACUUAGCCAACAUCAUCUGCACCCACGGAUGAAAGGGUAGUCUGAAGCCGUGCCGAUACAUAUCUGUGAAAAUCAUCACGGAGCCAUCCGAGGGAUACCUGACUACAUCAGCCUCAGUGGGUAACCUCAAGCCCACAUAGGCUGGCACACUAAAAUCUGUCCGCAGCUGGGCCAAUUUUGCUUCUGUAAGCGUAUUCCGCCUCGGCAACGGGACACCGACCCGAAUGUCCAAACCCUCUGAAACCGAAGCCACGGCUAUACCCACAGACCCUGAUGGUGAUGCCUGGUUGCUCGAACCCACCUCUUGCGUUUGAGGCAAGGCUAGAACCCGGUUUGCUAUGGCCUCUAACUCUAUAUAAUUUCUCUGCAUCUCCCUAUAUGCAGCUGACCCAGAGUCUUCGGAUGGCUCACCCCUCUCACCCCCAGGCCCUAUCAUCCUACUUUCUAUAGUGCCUUCUACCAGACCCUCUGUCUCUGAACUCUCCUCUUCAGAACAUAUAUAUUGGCUGGGCUCUUCACUCUCAGUAUCAUC